rnacentral:rRNA from 1 species
UGGGGAAUUUUGCACAAUGGAGGAAACUCUGAUGCAGCGACGCCGCGUGAGUGAUGAAGAUCUUCGGAUUGUAAAACUCUGUCCUUAGUGAAGAUAAUGACAGUAACUAAGAAGCAAGCCCUGGCUAAAUACGUGCCAGCAGCCGCGGUAAUACGUAUGGGGCAAGCGUUGUCCGGAAUUAUUGGGCGUAAAGGGUACGUAGGCGGUUUAAUAAGUCCUAAUUAAAAGGCUAUGGCUCAACCAUAGUAUGGUUAGGAAACUGUUGAACUUGAGUAGAUGAGGGGAAAGUUGAAUUCCAUGUGUUGCGGUGAAAUGCGUAGAUAUAUGGAGGAACACCAAUGGCGAAGGCAACUUUCUGGAAUCAAACUGACGCUGAGGUACGCAGGCGUUGGGAACAAACAGG